rnacentral:sRNA from 1 species
AAGCUAAAUUUAUACUUAUAAAAUGCAAAAAACUCAUCAUGGGCUUGUAACCAUUGAAGAUGCUUUUAGAACUUUUUUUCAAAAAUAAAAUAAGAAAAUUGGCUUUGUAGAAGACAAGGCACUCAAUUAAUGGCGGCCCAUAUUUUUUAAAUAGCCCAAGAGCACACUAUGCCGUUUUCGUUUUAGGUUCCGUCCAAAAAUUAACAAUAUUUUCGUCGAAGUUUUUCAUUUUGAUUUUACUCCCUUUUUAUGUCAUUUGGAGUUUUUGUUACAUUUCUUUUUCUUAUAUCUCUUGUUUUUUAACGCAAUUUAUUUUGAUUCUAGUAGUUAAAUCUUGUAUUCAUUUUU